rnacentral:misc_RNA from 1 species
GAUGAAGAACGUAGCGAAAUGCGAUAAGUAAUGUGAAUUGCAGAAUUCAGUGAAUCAUCGAAUCUUUGAACGCACAUUGCGCCCGCCAGUAUUCUGGCGGGCAUGCCUGUUCGAGCGUCAUUUCAACCAUCAAGCCCCAGGCUUGUGUUGGGGACCUGCGGCUGCCGCAGGCCCUGAAAACCAGUGGCGGGCUCGCUGUCACACCGGGCGUAGUAGAUUUUAUCUCGCUCAGGGCGUGCUGCGGGUUCCGGCCGUUAAAAAGCCUUUUUUACCCAAGGUUGACCUCGGAUCAGGUAGGAAGACCCGCUGAACUUAAGCAUAUCAAUAAGCAGAGGA